rnacentral:rRNA from 1 species
UCGACGAUCCCUUCGGGGAAGUGGCGGACGGGUGAGUAACGCGUGGGAACCUGCCCCGAGGUACGGAAUAACUCAUGGAAACGUGAGCUAAUACCGUAUGUGACCUGAGGGUGAAAGAUUUAUCGCCUUGGGAGGGGCCCGCGUCGGAUUAGGUAGUUGGUGGGGUAACGGCCUACCAAGCCUGCGAUCCGUAGCUGGUCUGAGAGGAUGAUCAGCCACACUGGAACUUAGACACGGUCCAGACUCCUACGGGAGGCAGCAGUGGGGAAUAUUGGACAAUGGGGGCAACCCUGAUCCAGCAAUGCCGCGUGCGUGAUGAAGGCCUUAGGGUUGUAAAGCGCUUUCGGCGGGGAAGAUGAUGACGGUACCCGCAGAAGAAGCCCCGGCUAACUCCGUGCCAGCAGCCGCGGUAAUACGGAGGGGGCUAGCGUUGUUCGGAAUUACUGGGCGUAAAGGGCGCGUAGGCGGCGAUUUAAGUUAGGCGUGAAAGCCCCGGGCUUAACCUGGGAACUGCGCUUGAUACUGGAUUGCUUGAGGACGGGAGAGGGUAGUGGAAUUCCCAGUGUAGAGGUGAAAUUCGUAGAUAUUGGGAAGAACACCAGUGGCGAAGGCGACUGCCUGGCCCGUUACUGACGCUGAGGCGCGARAGCGUGGGGAGCAAACAGGAUUAGAUACCCUGGUAGUCCACGCCGUAAACGAUGAGUGCUAGACGUUGGGGAACAUGGUUUCUCGGUGUCGCAGCUAACGCAUUAAGCACUCCGCCUGGGGAGUACGGCCGCAAGGUUAAAACUCAAAGGAAU